rnacentral:rRNA from 1 species
UACGUAGGGCGCAAGCGUUGUCCGGAAUUAUUGGGGCGUAAAGAGCUCGUAGGCGGCUCGUUGCGUCGGCUGUGAAAACCCGCAGCUCAACUGUGGGCUUGCAGCUGAUACGGGCGGGCUGGGAUUCGGUAGGGGAGACUGGAAUUCCUGGUGUGGCGGUGAAAUGCGCAGAUAUCAGGAGGAACACCGGUGGCGAAGGCGGGUCUCUGGGCCGAUAUCGACGCUGAGGAGCGAAAGCGUGGGGAGCGAACAGG